GGUUAUUUUACUUUUUAUAAUAAAUUAAUUUUGUUAUCGAAACUUUAUACGCUUUUAUAGCUAACUGUAUAAGUUGGGAAAAUAAAUACAAUCUCCCGAUCUCAAACUUUUAAACAUUCAAUGAAAAUGUCAUCGUCAUGUAUCUACGGUCCCGGUGCAGCACGUUUGGGCAUUUUUACCUGUUUACAUUGCUACAAAGUAUUACAAAAUACGCGCUUUUGAAAAGUACUAUUAUAGGAAUUUUAAGCAUCCCAAAUUCACCAACUAGAUUCACUGUCCCAUCGAACAAGAUACCUACUGAAGUUGAAAAUCGAAGCAUUUACUCUAAAUACUGAUGACAGACACAAAUAUGAAAUGUUUUUGCGGGGCCUAUUAAAUCGCGGGGCUCUGUGCAACUACACAGCAUGAACCAAGUUGGUUGAAGUCCAGGCGGUCCUGGAUAGCGGAGAGGUACAUAAUAAUAUAGGUUUACGACUUUACGUAUACAAUACAGUGGCGUAUCCAUAGGCGCAAUUUGGACAGUUGAUUUGGGGGGGCUAAAUUUAUAAAAUCAAUACAGAUCCGCAUAAUUUUUUUAUUAGGCGGAUUUAAGAAUGAAUAUAUUUAAAAACAUAGGGGGCUUAAAUAAAACUAGGAGGGGCUAAGCCCCCUAGACCCCCCCAAAUUGCCGAUGGGCGUCUCUACGGUGGGGGGGGGGUCAUAUCCCCCUCCCUGAGAUCAAAUUUUGUACACAAUACAACAUGUAUAACAAUAUGAAUAUAAUAUGUGUAUACUGAAUGUUUAUUAAAAAUUAAAA